rnacentral:rRNA from 1 species
CACGGGGGGAGCAAGCGUUGUUCGGAAUCACUGGGCGUAAAGGGCGUGUAGGCGGUCAGGUAAGUGGGAUGUGAAAUGCCCCGGCUCACCCGGGGACCGGCAUCCCAUACUGCUUGGCUUGAGUACGGGAGAGGAUGUGGGAAUUCCUGGUGUAGCGGUGAAAUGCGUAGAUAUCAGGAAGAACACCCGUGGCUAAGGCGGUUCUCUAGUACGGUACUGACGCUGAGACGCGAAAGCGUGGGGAGCGAACAGG